rnacentral:lncRNA from 1 species
AAGCGAGAUUGCAUUUCAUGUGCACGUGCCAAUCUCUCACUGUUGCUCACUGGGAAUGACUAAUAUCAUUUUUCUUCCUUCUGGCCUAAUGCAAACAAAGCACAAAACACAAAGGAUAAACAUAACCAAGCACCAUAUUCAUGCUAAAGGGUCUGCAUAAUUGAAAUUGAAAUUCACCCUCUGCAUUCUUUUGUUCACUCAAUUAAUGUUUACUGAGCUUUGGGUACUGGAAAUAUACAUACACAGAUGCUGAUUUGCUUGAACCUGGGAGGCAGAGGUGGCAGUGAGCCAAAGAUCGUGCCAUUGCACUCCAGCCUGGGCAACAAAAGCGAAACUCCAUCUCAAAAACCAACCAACCAACCAACAAACCAACCAACCAACCAAACAAACAAACAAACUACUACCCAGAGAUACCUCAGUGAAUUCCUGGGUUCCUGACAUGUUCCUUUUUAUCCCUGUUGUAUAGUAGCAAUUCUGGAUUAUUUCUCAUGAUAAUCAGGAUCAGUGAUUCCUGAGGAGACACUCACACCUUUGUUAUGUGUUAGUUCCUGGUAUAAGGAACUUCAAGUAAAAAGGUAUGUAGGUUAUAGCUUUAAGUUCAUUAGGUACCUUUCUGUGUCAUCUGACAGAGCAUUCUGCCAUCCAUCUGAUCCCUCUAGAACUGUAAUCUCUAACCUUGUACAACCUAUGAUUAGAAAGUACAAGUUCUGUGAGUUUCGGAAAUAAGAAAACCCAAUUCUAUUUGACUCUGUGGUUCCCAGAUCCAUGAAUUCUUGCUAUUUAGGAUAAAGCAACACCAUAUAAUUUGCUUUUUGUCAGCAGAUAGUCUACAACUUAGGGGAAAGAGAACUCUUGAGCUGGUGCCUUUGCUGAAGCUUUAACAGGACUUUCCACUGUUCUACUAGACAGAGUAUCUUGAUGAUGGUGUGCAUAGGAAGACCAGUGGGUCCUUUAGUCAUGCAUCCAGGUAGCCUUUCCUUUGGCAUAAAUUGGGAUUUUGUUCUGGGGAAGUGCUGAAUGGAAUACAAUACACAUAGAUCAGAUAGUCUGUAAGCCAGUAGAUGGUGGUGCUGAGGGAGGUACAAGGGAAGGCAAACUAACACCAUAAGGAGAUUUCUAUUUCAGUGAGACCAAGUCACAGUCCCUUUCAUGUUGGAAGUGGCUCAUUGUAGUAAACCUACUGCUAUACUUGAGUUUGCCUCAAGGGAUAGUGCCAUCUUGAUGGCUCAGAAUUAGUCUCUUCUA